UGAACGCUGGCGGCGUGCCUAAUACAUGCAAGUCGAGCGAACAGACGAGGAGCUUGCUCCUCUGACGUUAGCGGCGGACGGGUGAGUAACACGUGGAUAACCUACCUAUAAGACUGGGAUAACUUCGGGAAACCGGAGCUAAUACCGGAUAAUAUAUUGAACCGCAUGGUUCAAUAGUGAAAGACGGUUUUGCUGUCACUUAUAGAUGGAUCCGCGCCGCAUUAGCUAGUUGGUAAGGUAACGGCUUACCAAGGCAACGAUGCGUAGCCGACCUGAGAGGGUGAUCGGCCACACUGGAACUGAGACACGGUCCAGACUCCUACGGGAGGCAGCAGUAGGGAAUCUUCCGCAAUGGGCGAAAGCCUGACGGAGCAACGCCGCGUGAGUGAUGAAGGUCUUCGGAUCGUAAAACUCUGUUAUUAGGGAAGAACUAAUGUGUAAGUAACUAUGCACGUCUUGACGGUACCUAAUCAGAAAGCCACGGCUAACUACGUG
rnacentral:rRNA from 1 species